rnacentral:lncRNA from 1 species
GACCAAUGAUGAGACAGUGUUUAUGAACAAAAGAUCAUGAUUAAUCCAGUUCUGCACAAAACACUGAGGUCCAUUAGAAGACAAUAGGUCUUGGCUGUUUCAUUCCUUUUAAGAGCUGUUUAAUAUUCCACGGAGCCCUGGGCUCCCCCAGUGUUGCCUGGGUCUGACUUUGCCUCAGUGAAAACUGCCUCGAAUUCUUUCUUGCACCGAUGGGCAGAUGGGCAGUGUCGGAGGAUCGUGUCAUCUGUCCCGUGGCGCUGGUUGGCUUGGUCAAGUCAGUGUUCAAACUAUCUCCUGCUCUUUCAAGGGGAUCUGGGGCUCUAGAAGAUUAGAGGACUUGGAGAGGUUAGUGACUUGCUCGAGGUCGGCUAGGAAGCAAGACCCAGGAUUCCAACUCAGGUCUGUGUGAUUCCUCUGCAAAAUGGAGAGGUGGAAGGAUGGAUGUCAGGUCUGAUGGAUGGAUGGAUGCCUACAUCAAGAUACAUGCAUAGAUGGAGAGAUGGCUGGCUACCUCAUGAAUGCUGGACUGUUGUGAGAAUCAAACGAGAUAAUGUAUGCUGAGGCAUGCUGUGAACACUACGUGCUGGGUACAGGAGAAUGGAGGCUCCAGAGUGAAAUUAAUGACACUUUGUCGAUGAAGAUCUUGAUUGUGACCUCUGUGGAAAAUGAGCCAUGAACCAACCAAUGAUAAGUCUACUUUUCUUCCACGUAACAACCACAGGAUAGAUGACAUUCAUUUUCUAAGAAACAAAAUCUUGGCAGUUAGAUCCGUGGGGUAAAGAAUAUAGAUACUAAUGUAAGUUAACACCUCAAGUUCAUGUCCUUGGUUUGGAUGCUUUGUUCAGGAGUGUUUAGUGGUAUUUCAAAGGAAUCAAUAUCUAUAACAAAUUAAAAUAACCAGGAAUGGACCAGUGAUGGAAAUGUGUUCCGAAAAUAUGUUUAAUAUAAUUUGGCACAACUGAAGUGAUAAAAAUAUAGUAGUUAGACCAUUUAUAUUCACAAUUAUUUAACAUUGUAUCUUAUUUUCUACCUCAAAUGAUUUAAUCUUUUCCAUAUUGGUAUGGUCCUGGCCGAUAACUCUUUGUGUGGCAGCCUGAGAGAAUAUGGAAGACACUGUCAGUGUUGGAAGAUGGUGGUUUUAUCACUUUUCAUUGCACUGUCUUUAAAACAUGGGCAAAUUGACUAAAAGAAGACUACAGAAGAAAUAAUGGUGAUUGUGAAUUUGGUAUGAAGCAUGGAUGUUAAUUAAUCACACAUGUUCUCUGAGGUCCAUUGUAAAAGGAGACCUAGUCUUCAGGGAGAGAGCCACUAAUGGGGAGAUCUUAUUCCUAGAAUUUUGUGGUUAUAUUAUUAUUCAUGAACCAAUGAAUAAUAAAUGAAUGAUAUAAAGGAAGAAAAACGUGCUUGGACCAAUGAUGAGUACCAUGGGGUAUCUGAAACAGGAUUUUUGAUUAAACCCAUAUGCAAUUCUGAGGUCCAUUACAAAGAGACACGUAUUAUUCCUUUUUUGGGAAGUGAGCCUAUGGUACCUUUUCCUUGGACUUUGUGGUUCUUGGGGAUGGAUUGCAUUUUUGUUAUAAAAUCAGCCCAUGAAUUAAAAAUUUAUCAAUGAGUAAAACAUAAAGCAUAAGUCAUGUACUUAUUAUCAGUGACUGUAAUGAAACAUGGAUUAUUAUUAAAACUUAUCUGAGACUCCCAAUAAAUUAAUACCCAAGGCUUCUACCAUUCUGGUAAGGAGCAUAUGGUCAUUUGUAUGCAAGAGUCAGUUUUUGUUCUGUGUUGGUGGUGGGUUGCUGACUAUUUUAUGAAGAAAAUGAAGCAUCUUUAAUCAUAUAAAUAGUUGGUUAAAUAACCACUUAAUUGAGACCAAGCAGAGACCAAUGAUGAGUGUAUUAAUCUAUUUUUUAAUGGAUUUUUAUUAAACAAAUAAUAAAAGAAACACAGUCUAUUCUUCCUGAGGGCAAUAACUCUAGACAGAUGUAAAUAUUCUUCAGUGUUCUUGUCCAGUGCUGUGAGAUCACAGAUACUGAUGUCUUUUGUAUAUGAGAAGGAACUUGCAUUUUUAUGUCUCAGUUUAUAUUUUAGAGUCAGCAAACCAUGGACCAAUUAGGAACAAAUGUUAUGAUAUGAGAAUGCUGAUUCUUGUUUUUUUUUUUCAUGAUAGACAUUCUAAGAAAAACUCUAGGCUCUCUCAUUGUUUUUGGAAUACAUACAUGGUUCUUUCCAAGUAGUUUCUUAGAAAAAUGUUUUUAAAAAGAGGCUUUUAAAAAGAGCCUUUUAAAAUGUUUUUAAAAGAAGGCUUUAUUUUUCUCUAUAGAAUGAAAACCAUGUAGCUGGUCUUAUUAUUCUCUAAUCAUGAAGACCAUUAUUGUUAUUUGUGGACUAAGGAGCAGAAAGACUGAUAGUGGACAUAGGCCAGCUGAUUUAAUAAUUUAAGAAAGAACUGUUAUCCUGAGUAAGGAGCAUAGAGACAAAUAUAAAAUGAACGCACUCUACCUGAUUUAAUUAUAGUCUUCUGGUGAAGAUCUUGCUGUUAUCUCUGUGAAUCAGGAGAGAAGAGAUUGAUAAGGAAUAGACGAGAUUGGAUUUGGUCAUUUCCCCAAGGUGAAGAGCAUGGCGAUUUCUUCUGUGGUAAGGAGCAAUAAUGAAGACCAUGGUUGAUUUAAUCAGUCUCUGCUGAUGAAGAUCUUGGCUGUUACCUUUGUGUGUAAGGAAGCUAAAGACUUAAGUAAAUAACAGUCCAAAAACUUGUCAAUUAGGAAUGAAUGCGCAAUGAUUCAAUUAUUCUCCAGCGAGGAAGAUCAUGGUUGUUGUCUGUUUGAGUAAUGAGUGUAGAAACCUAUAAUGGAGGCGUGAUGGCUGAUGCAAUCAUUUUCCACUGAUGAAGGUUUUGAUGGCCACCUGUAAUGAACAGCCCCAUCUGAUUUAAUCACUGUGCAAUGACCGUGAACUGUACAGUUACCUCCGUGUGUCACAGGAAGACUCUUUUGACUUAAGCACCCUUCCAUGGUCAUGAGGUUUCUGGUUGCCUCUGUGUGUUAGAAGCUUGGAGACCAAUGCCUUCUGCUGUGAUCGCGUUCUCCACAGUUGCCUCUGGGUAGGAGCCUGGACACUAAUAGAAAAUGGAUGCACUUGAGCCGACCUAAGCAUUCAUGGUCAUGAGAUUUGUGGUUGCCACUGUUGGUUAGGAGCAUAGAGAUCAGUAAUGGACACACCUGGGCUGGCAGAACAUCUUGCCUUGAUCUGGAGCCCCAUGUCUGCCCCUCUGUAGAGGUGCACAUGGGCCAAUGAUGGAUGCAAUGAGCUGAUCAUUUUGCUGUGAUCAAGGCUAUGUUGCCUCUGUGUUAGGCCAAUGGUUGAUGUUCAUGGGUGAUUGAUCAUCCUGUAGCGACGGUGGUAUUGACUGUUCCCCAGAGGACAAGGAGUGUGUUCUUAUAAUGGACAUCAUGAUUGGGAUUGUCUUUAUUAAACUUUGUCAGGAGAGUAAAGAUCAAUGUGGCCACAUGUUGUGGCUCAUGCCUGUAAUCCCAACACUGUAAUCCCAGCACUGUAAUCCCAGCCUGUAAUCCCAGGCUGAGGUGGGCGGAUCACCUGAGGUUGGGAGUUCGAGACCAGCCUGACCAACAUGGAGAAACCCCGUCUCUACUAAAAAUACAAAAUUAGCCGGGCAUGGUGGCGCAUGUCUUUAAUUCCAGCUACUCAGGAGGCUGAGGCAGGAGAAACGCUUGAACCCGAGAGGCGGAGGUUGCAGUGAGCUGAGAUUGCGCCAUUGCACUCCAGCCUGGGCAACAAGAGUGAAACUCCAUCUCAAAAGAAAAAAAAAAGAAAACAAAACAAAAAAAGAAAAAACCAAUGUAAGUACCUGUUAAAGUUCUUGCUAUGGUUCCAGUGGUUUGCUUCCUAACUGUGUUAUUUAGAAAUUUGAAGUAUAUUUAAUGAAUGUCCUCCCUUCCCACUGGCCCUGCCAGGCAUGCUGCCAUCUGUUCUCUGGGACUUGUGAGUAGUACACUGCUCCUGUUAUUUCAUGUGCUUUGCUAAGUUGUUUCUUCUGUGUCUCAACUGAUCAACACACCCAGACCUAACUGAUUUCCAGGUUGGGGCUCUCCUAGAGAGUGCCUCUCUUGGUAGGAAUAAACUGGACACAGACAAGAGCCUCCAUGGUGUCUGCCUGUAUAACCAAGUUUUCUAUGAGAGGGACAAUGGGUCAUAGAUUGAACACUUGGGCAUUACAUCUGUGAGAAUAAGUCUAUAGUAAAUUUCAGUAAAUUUGAGGGAUCUAAUUAUGGGGUUUCAGUAGAUCCUGGGGAUUUAUUGCAUUAUUCGAAGGAAAUAAAUGAAAGAAUCAGCAAAACAUACAGACACACAUAUAAAUAAUUAAAGAUGAAGAGGAUAAAGCUGGAUUAAUUGAGGAAAAUGCUAUCAGACAGGAAUUUUUGGUUCUGUAAUUCUGAAACACUGCAAUGCAUUAAGAAACCUGUACAUCAAGGGUGUCACCUGUCUAGGGUAGGGUAAUAUAGAGUAGUUGUUCUCAAAUGCGAGCAUUGGAGUGACCUGGAGGGCUUGUAAAAUACAGAAGGUCACCUACAUUCUCAGGAUUUCUGAUUCAGUAGGUUUGGUGUGGGGUCUGAGAAUCUAAAUUUCUAAUAACUUAAUUUCUGUAGGUUCCAAUAGUUUCCCAAAUCAUGCUGAUGCUGCCUCCUGAGAAAUAUUUUCAGAAUCACUGAGAAAAAUGUAUGAAAUAGUUAAUGUCCUUGCUCUGUGUCAGUGGUGGAGGCUGUCUGCAGUAGGAGCAUGGAGACCAACAAUGGAUGCUCUUAAACUGAUUUAAGCACGCUUCCAUGGUCAGAAGCCUUAUGGUUGCCACAGGGUAUUAGGAGCAUGGAGACCAAUAAUGGAUGUCCUUGUUCUGAUUUGAGGAUGCCUCCAAGGUCACAUACUCUGUUUGCACCACGCUUAGGAAGGAGCGUGAAGACCAAGGGGAGUAAUAGUCAAAGUCCUUACCUUUGUUUGGGUGGUUUGUUUAAGAGUAAUCAACGUAUUAUUUAAAAGUGUGAAAUACAGUCAAAGAUGGCCAAUGUUAUUCCAGUGAUAUGGGAGUGACAUGAAGUAUUAUAUUGAUGAUGCAUAUAUAAAAAACAGGAUAGUUAAUGAAACACCCAAUGUUUGAGUGAUUCUGUAUACUGAUAGGGAAUAUCAAGAGUGUUACUGGGUUUUGUGAAUCACGGGCCUUGAAAGUAUUAUUAAUGAAUAAAUGACAUAAUCAAUAGACAAGGUAGAAAUGAAUAGCAAAAAAAAAGAA